AGGGUAGUAGUCCAGUGGCUGGGGUGCAUGGCUGGGACCCUUGAGGUUGGGGGUUCAAGCCCCAGUCUAGCCUG